GAGCAGAAGUCUCUUCCGGUCAUCGCCGUUCGAAGGUCUCCACGGUGAUCCGUCCAUCCCGCUCCUCCAGGCCUCGGCACCCGCGGUUUUACUCCAGUGAAAAUAAAGUUGUUUGAGGAUAUUGGCGCAGAAAACAUCACAAAACUUGGAAUAUUAUUAUUAUUAUUAUUUUUUUUCUUCUACCACCCCCAACUGUACAAGAUGAAGCUGUGGUGGGGCUGGACGUGUGUGUUGCUCCUCUCCCUCCUGGCUCUCUCUGAGUCCCAGGCUGAAGCUCAGGGUGACCUAGACCUAGAGAUGGAGGAUGAAAUGGAGGAAGCUAUGGUGGAAGACAUGGUAGAAGAUAGGGAAGACUCAGCAGAGAUAGAGGGAGAGGCGGAGAUGGAAGGGGAGGCGGAAGAGGAGAAGGGAACCGAUGCCAACGUCUCCUUCCAGGUGACCUACAAGACUCCUGUUCCCAUUGGAGAAGUGUACUUCUCAGAGACCUUUGAUGACGGCUCACUGGACAGGUGGCAGGUGUCAAAGACGAUGAAGGAAGACGCAGACGAUGAAAUUGCUAAAUAUGAUGGUACGUGGUCUGUGGAGCAGCUGAAGGAGAAUAAAGUACCAGGAGACAUGGGUCUGGUUCUGAAGUCCCGGGCCAAACAUCACGCCAUCGCCUCCCUGUUGGACAGACCCUUCCUCUUCCGGGACGACGCCCUAGUCGUACAGUAUGAGGUGAACUUCCAGGAUGGUAUUGACUGUGGUGGAGCCUACAUCAAACUGCUGUCAGACGAAGAUGACCUGGAUCUGGAUCAGUUUAAUGACCGUACCUCCUACAGCAUCAUGUUUGGGCCUGAUAAGUGUGGAGAGGACUACAAGCUGCACUUCAUCUUCCGCCACAGGAGCCCUCUGAACAACGACCUGGAGGAGAAACACGCCAAGAGGCCCGACGUCGACCUGAAGAAGUUCUACACAGACAAGAAGACUCAUCUCUACACACUGGUCCUGAACCCAGACAACAGCUAUGAGAUCCUGGUAGACCAGAGCAGUGUCAGUCGUGGCUCUCUGCUUCAUGAUGUGGUUCCUCCUGUUAACCCCACCAAGGAGAUAGACGAUCCCACUGACUCUAAACCUGAAGACUGGGACGAGAGGGCCAAGAUACCAGACCCAGAGGCUGUCAAACCAGACAACUGGGAUGAGGAGGCUCCGGCUACGAUCCAGGACCCUGAUGCUGUGAAGCCAGAGGGAUGGCUGGACGACGAGCCGGAGUUUGUAGCCGACCCCGCCGCCGACAAACCAGACGACUGGGAUGAGGAGAUGGAUGGAGAGUGGGAGGCCCCUCAGGUUCCUAACCCAGUGUGUGAGACAGCCCCUGGAUGUGGGCAGUGGAAACCCCCUACCAUCAACAACCCUCAGUACAAGGGCAAGUGGAAGGCUCCUCUGGUGGACAACCCCCACUACCAGGGUGUGUGGAACCCGCGUAAGAUCCAGAACCCGGACUACUUCGAGGACCUGACUCCGUUCCAGAUGACGUCGUUCAGAGCCGUGGGGCUGGAGCUCUGGUCCAUGACCUCAGAGAUCUACUUCGACAACUUCAUCAUCACUUCAUAUAAAGAGGUGGCCGAUCGCUGGGCUGGAGACAGCUGGGGACUCAAGAAACUGGUGGCUAGUGCCAACGAGCCGGGUGUGUUUUCCCAGUUGACCAUGGCAGCAGAGGAGAGACCGUGGCUCUGGGUGGUCUACAUACUGACUGUUGGUCUGCCCAUAGGACUGACUGUGUUAUUCUGCUGGCCCAAGAAAUCAGAUGAUGACUAUGUGUACAAGAAGGUGGACCCGCCUAAACCCGAUGUAGAAGAGGAGGAGGAAGAGGAUGAUGAAGAGGAGGAGGAGGAGGAAGAAGAAGAGGAGAAGGGAGACCAAGCAGCUAAGGCCAAAGCUACUGAGAGUCCAAAACCUGCAGAAGAGAAGAAAGAGAAGGCGGAGGAGGAGAGUGGGGCAGCUGGAGGGGACAGCGUAGAAGAUGAAGAGGGACGAGGAGGAGGAGGAGGAUGAAGGAGAGGAGGAAGAAGAGACCAAGUCCAAUGAGGCAGCAUCGGAUGAUGUCAGUGCUGAGCAGAAGGUGGAGGCAGACGAGGGGGGCCACAGCGUUGGCGACGGACACAAACAGGCCGUGAGGAAGAGGAGGGUACGGAAAGACUGAUGAAGACCAACGACAACAAAUUAAGCCUCCUCUCUCCUCUUCCUCUCUCCUCUCUCUCUCCUCCCCUCUCUCUCUCUCCUCUUCCUCUCUCUCCUCUUCCUCUCUCUCUCUCCUCUCUCUCUCUCUCUCUCUCCUCUCUCCUCUCUCUCUCUC